rnacentral:rRNA from 1 species
UACAGAGGGUGCAAGCGUUGUUCGGAAUUAUUGGGCGUAAAGGGCGCGUAGGCGGUGCGGUAAGUCUGUAGUGAAAUCUCUGGGCUCAACUCAGAGUCUGCUAUAGAAACUGCCGUGCUCGAGUGUGGGAGAGGUGAGUGGAAUUCCCGGUGUAGCGGUGAAAUGCGUAGAUAUCGAGAGGAACACCUGCGGCGAAGGCGGGUUGCUGGGCUGACACUGACGCUGAUGCACGAAAGCCAGGGGAGCGAACGGG